rnacentral:rRNA from 1 species
CCUUGUACACACCGCCCGUCACACCAUGGAAGUCGGUUUCACCGGAAAACGCUGCGCUAACCGCAAGGAGGCAAGUGUUUAUGGUAAGGCCGAUGACUGGGGUGAAGUCGUAACAAGGUACCC